rnacentral:lncRNA from 1 species
GGUGGUUGUGGGGGGUGGCGCAACAUAAAGGUGUUGCUCGUAUAAGUAGGAACCUCUACAUAGCUAAAUAGUCCUACCUAACAAAAGGGGGAAAGAAUCAAAACUUCAAGAAAUUUAUAGCAUUGAGUGCAUCCCGCAUCAAAUAUAAUCCCUAAGUGGAGUAUCACAUUGGCAGCUUUAAAAUAAUUCUGUUCUCCAAAAGCUACAUUAUAAGCAUAUCAAAGAAAUCUACAA